AUUGAACGCUGGCGGCAUGCCUUACACAUGCAAGUCGAACGGUAACGGGCCUUCGGGUGCCGACGAGUGGCGAACGGGUGAGUAAUGUAUCGGAACGUACCUUUCAGUGGGGGAUAACGUAGCGAAAGUUACGCUAAUACCGCAUAUUCUGUGCGCAGGAAAGCAGGGGAUCGCAAGACCUUGCGCUGAUUGAGCGGCCGAUAUCAGAUUAGCUAGUUGGUGAGGUAAAGGCUCACCAAGGCGACGAUCUGUAGCGGGUCUGAGAGGAUGAUCCGCCACACGGGAACUGAGAAACGGUCCAGACUCCUACGGGAGGCACCAGUGGGGAAUUUUGGACAAUGGGGGCAACCCUGAUCCAGCCAUGCCGCGUGAGUGAAGAAGGCCUUCGGGUUGUAAAGCUCUUUCGGCCGGGGAGAAAUCGUAUCAGCUAAUACCUGGUGCAGAUGACGGUACCGGCAUAAGAAGCACCGGCUAACUACGUGCCAGCCGCCGCCGUAACAC
rnacentral:rRNA from 1 species